rnacentral:rRNA from 1 species
AUUCCAGCUCCAAUAGCGUAUAUUUAAGUUGUUGCGGUUAAAAAGCUCGUAGUUGGAUUUCGGGCGUGGAGGUUCGGUCCGCCGUUUCGGUGUGCACUGUCUUUCUGCGUCUUUCUGUCGGGGACGCGCUUCUGGCCUUAAUUGGCUGGGACGUGGAUUCGACGAGGUUACUUUGAAAAAAUUAGAGUGUUCAAAGCAAGCUAAAGCUCUGAAUACAUUAGCAUGGAAUAACGCGAGAGGACUCGGUCCUUAUUUUGUUGGUCUUCAAGGAUGGAGUAAUGAUUAAGAGGGACAGUUGGGGGCAUUCGUAUUUCAUUGCUAGAGGUGAAAUUCUUGGAUUUAUGAAAGACGAACUUCUGCGAAAGCAUUUGCCAAGGAUGUUUUCAUCA